rnacentral:pre_miRNA from 1 species
AUAACGUAAGGACUGUCGGUCUACUGAGCAAUGACACCCGCUCGGUGAAAGAUCUUUCCUUCGUCGU